AAAUAUAUGCCGGUUAUUUUUCCAACAAUAUUCCUGGAGAAAGAAGUCCACUAGAGCUCUUGUUUUUUGAAUAGAGGGACUGGUGACUCUACCAAUGAGAGUAAACAUGUCACGUUCAAUGAGAUCAGCGAUAUUGAAUUUUCGUAUCUUCACAAGGGAUUUUCGCAGAGGAAGACUCUCAUCCUUCCAUUUCCCCAUUUUCGACCUCGAGUAGUGGUGCGUCAUGACUGAAGUAGGAAGUGGUUGCUGGCAUUGAUGCAGG
rnacentral:lncRNA from 1 species